rfam:Natronobacterium gregoryi SP2, complete genome.
GCCAGGAUGGCCGAACGGUAAGGCGCACGCCUGGAAAGCGUGUUCCCUUUGGGAUUCAGGGUUCAAAUCCCUGUCCUGGCG